rnacentral:tRNA from 1 species
UGGGGGUAUAGCUCAGUUGGGAGAGCACCUGCCUUGCAAGCAGGGGGUCAAGGGUUCGAAUCCCUUUAUCUCCAUC